AAACAACUUUUUUUACAAAAAAUCUCCUUGUUUUCUGUAUAUAGAGAAUAGAAGCAGGAAAGCUUCAAGAUUAUCAGGGAGAUCACAUGGACAGAUUGAAAGAACGCAUGUGGGAUUUCUUCUCUCGAAACUCCAGCUCUUCAAACGACACAAGAAAUCAAAGCUGGAUACCAGACAAGAAGAGGGAUUUUUUAUCCUCCUUUCGAAACUCCAACUCUUCGAACCGCACAAGAGCGGUAAGCAAUGACAGCGGGAUCAUGAACUCGUUAAGUUUUAGAGAUUCAGCUUUGGAAAACAAGAGCAGUAAGCUAAAGGUAGCAAGGGAUUCUAUCAAAGAAUUCUUACGUCGUUACGGUUUUGGUCCAUCAGAGCACAGGAGUCGUCCCUUGCCUUUAAAUAAAUAAUUGACCGGAAGACUCUAAAAUAUGGUUUGUAUACAAAAUUUGUGCUCAAAAAUAAAUGAGAAGAUUGUGGUGGAAGGUGGAGGCUUUUGUAUUGAUUGUGUAACCGUGUGGCACUGCGUGCAUGUGUUUAAGGUGUGUGCUUGUGAAUUGUGAUAUAUAUCUAUGAAUUCUCUUGGUUUGUGUUU